UAACAAGCAGUUUAUAAAAUGACUGUAGUUUAUGUCCAAAGGAAAAAACAACCAACUUCCAAUAGUGUAAACUAAAACUAUAUUUUAAUGCCUUUCAGCAACAAAUGAAAAACCUUCAUUGAAAGUGUAGUGGAAAUGCUAAGUCACAGCCUGAACCAGUGAUGGAGCACCUGGUGGGAAGGCAGAGCCAACCUAGGGGAGCUCAGGUGCAAGCAGUGCGCCUAAGUAACUGGUAGAGGUGGAGCCUGGCUCCAGCCCUUCCCAGACCUUAUUCAAGGACUGACAGUGGAGGCAAGGGUGUCUCUUGCUGGAGAUCCCUGCCUACCGAAGGCCUUCUGAAGGUCUUCAUUUUCCUUCACCAGCUUUUCGACUUGUACUUUGAAGUUCUUCAUAUCCUCCUGGAAGAUAAAGGAAUUCAAACUAAAAUAUUUAGAGCAGGGAAAUAACAGAAAAGAGACAGUUUGCUCUGAGUUACCCUAUCUGAAACACACUGAACAGCAUCAGUGCUAGAGAACUUAAGAAACAGAACUUUUGAAACAGCUUCUUCGAUAUCAACAAAAUUGAAGAGAGCUGGACUCUGCCUCUGCCUCCCUGUCACCAUCUGAUAGAUAGGUUUCCAUGUCCUCAUCUUCACAGUAGCUGCCUGUUACUUCCAGUGACUGUACAGGAGAUCUGUCACUGCCAUCAAGUUUCCAGUUGGGCCUGAGAAAACUACACAACUGCUGAUGUCAUUAUUGAUGACUGUGAAGCUAUGCGUAAAUGCUGGAGCAUUACAAACCAGUGCAAGUGUAAGUAGAUGGAAGUGCUUGCUAGUGGGAUGCUGCAGAGCAGAGUGAAGAGGAAGAUGAAGAUGAAUAACAAAUGGGAACAAAGAUCAAAGGAGAGGAAUGAUGAGAGCUGUAACAACAAUGACAGCAACUGGAGGUCAAAAAGAAGAAAUGAACUGGAAUUGACCAGGAAUAAUACAGACACCAGAAAGAAUGCAGAAAACAACCAGAACUGAAUUAAACACAGAGAAAGCAAAGAAGAAAAACUGCAAGGUACUACAAAUGAAACUAAAUUUAUAUUUUCACUUGGUGCUACUUGCCUGUUACCGCUAAUUCAAAUCUAGUAGUGUUUUAACAUACAAGUUUUUAAGUCCCUGUUUUUUUGUUGUUGUUUUCUAAUGCAAUAAAAUGGUAAGUUAGCAAUGUUUAA